AAGGGAAUGUUCUACAAAACAAGGUGAGGUCUGUGCCAUCAUAACUCAAGCCCCCUCCCCACGUUACUCUGCUCAUUGCCUUGAGGAGCAAAAUCCAGCAGUUUGGCAGACCAUGAAAAGAUCUGAGAGCAACUGGAGGUUCCUAGAUGUGUCAUCCAUGGAACACAGUCAACAUGUCGUUCAAAUUUGAAGUUCCUGGGAAAUGUGUAUCUUCAGAGUAUAGGCUCCAGGUAAAUUGAACUCAGAACUCUCAGGGAGAUCACAGCAGUUCCAUGUUAAGAGGAUGAAAACAUGAGAAUUCCACCCCAUUCCCACGACUGAGACCAGUGUCUAUCUCCCUUAGAAUAACCAGGAUGAGACUUGAUCCCUGACUAGGCAGUCAUCGCCUCUUACCAGCCUGAAGCAGCCAUAGAAGAUGGAUCUCCACCACUUACCAACCCUUAAGAAAGGGGGGAGGGAGGCCAUAGGAUUAGAUGCUAAAUAGAUUUGGAUGGACAAUUUGGCUUGUUCCACUCCUUCCUGGCCACUGCCUGUGUUAGCUUCCCCAAAUAAAACCUGAGCUGACAGCAAUGGAAUUUAUGAAGACCAGUAAGACAUGAGAAAUAUUCAUUUAUUAUAUCAUAAUUUGGUGACUGCGGUUAAUGUCCAACAGUGUGGAAACUUACGCUCUGAAAGCAAUGAAAUGACACAGAGCAGACAGCAGCUUGGGAAUCUUGGAAUGAUAUUUACAUCUCCCAGAGAAGAGUCAGCACCUGAAAUCUGACUUUUAUGUGGAGCUAAUCCUCCUUUUGGCAAUUACUUGCUUUCUGAGUAUUUUAAAGACAAAAUAAAAGUGAUAUCAGGUUAGUAGAAA